UAUUAAGCUUUGCUCCUACGAGAUGGGUGGGUUUUUAUUAUGUUACACACAAAGCUAACUGGCUAUUGUUAGCCUGUACGUAAGCUAGCAGACAUUAAAUAGGUAAACACUGCUCAGAGACUUAUUAGGCAAUUUUUAGAGGGACU